CGGACCUGCCCAGUGAUAAUAUAAUUAUUUAACGGCCGCGGUACUCUGACCGUGCAAAGGUAGCAUAAUCAUUUGCCCUAUAAUUGAGGGCUAGUAUGAAGGGUUUGACAAGGGCUUUUCUGUCUCCACAAAAAUUGAUGGAAUUUAUUUUUUAGAUGAAGAAAUCUAAAUACAACUAAAGGACAAGAAGACCCUAUCGAGCUUAAAAGUUAUUUCUAAUGUAAAAAAAGCGUGUAUGCAUUUUUUUUUAGAAAAAAUUUUGGUUGGGGCGACUAAGGAACAAAAAAAGCUUCUUUUAUUUAGGAAGAUAUAUUUAUUUAGAUCCAUGACUUGUUGUGAUUAAAAGAAUUAGUUACCGUAGGGAUAACAGCAUAAUCUUUUUUGAGAGCUCUUAUCGAAAAAAAGGUUUGUGACCUCGAUGUUGGACUAGAAUAUCCUGAUAGGUGCAGAAGCCUUCGAGGGUUGGUCUGUUCGA
rnacentral:rRNA from 1 species